UACGUAGGGUGCAAGCGUUGUCCGGAAUUAUUGGGCGUAAAGGAGCUCGUAGGCGGGUCUGUCGCGUCGGGCUGUGAAAACUCGGGGCUCAACCCCGAGCCUGCAGUCGAUACGGGCAGACGUAGAGGUUCGGUAGGGGAGACGUGGAAUUCCUGGUGUAGCGGUGAAAUGCGCAGAUAUCAGGAGGAAUACCGAUGGCGAAGGCAGGUCUCUGGGCUGACACUGACGGCUCAUGCACGAAAGCGUGGGGAGCAAACAGG
rnacentral:rRNA from 1 species